rnacentral:rRNA from 1 species
GACGUAGGGGGCAAGCGUUGUCCGGAUUUAUUGGGCGUAAAGAGCUCGUAGGCGGCUCGGAAAGUCGGGUGUGAAACCUCCAGGCUCAACCUGGAGACGCCACCUGAUACUGCUGUGGCUAGAGUCCGGUAGGGGAACACGGAAUUCCCGGUGUAGCGGUGAAAUGCUUAGAUAUCGGGAGGAACACCAGUGGCGAAGGCGGUGUUCUGGGCCGGAACUGACGCUGAGGAGCGAAAGCGUGGGUAGCAAACAGG